GUCUCUUCGGAGACAUCCGAUAAAAUUGGAACGAUACAGAGAAGAUUAGCAUGGCCCCUGCGCAAGGAUGACACGAACAAAUCGAGAAAUGGUCCAAAUUUUU
rnacentral:snRNA from 1 species